rnacentral:rRNA from 1 species
UACGAAGGGUGCAAGCGUUACUCGGAAUUACUGGGCGUAAAGCGUGCGUAGGUGGUUCGUUAAGUCUGAUGUGAAAGCCCUGGGCUCAACCUGGGAAUGGCAUUGGAUACUGGCGGGCUAGAGUGCGGUAGAGGGCAGUGGAAUUCCCGGGUGUAGCAGUGAAAUGCGUAGAGAUCGGGAGGAACAUCUGUGGCGAAGGCGACUGCCUGGACCAGCACUGACACUGAGGCACGAAAGCGUGGGGAGCAACAGG